rnacentral:rRNA from 1 species
AUACCAUGCUGAAUAUACCGGUUCUCGUUAGAUCACCGAAGUCAAGCAUUAUUGGGCGCGGUCAGUACUUGGGUGGGUGACCCCCUGGGAACCGCGUGCCGUU